GACGUAGGGCGCGAGCGUUGUCCGGAUUUAUUGGGCGUAAAGAGCUCGUAGGCGGUUUGUUGCGUCGGGAGUGAAAACUCGGAGCUUAACUCCGAGCCUGCUUCCGAUACGGGCAGACUAGAGGGUAGGCAGGGGAGAGCGGAACUCCUGGUGUAGCGGUGGAAUGCGCAGAUAUCAGGAAGAACACCGGUGGCGGAAGGCGGCUCUCUGGGCCAACACUGACGCUGGAGAACGGCGAAAGCCUAGGGGAGCAAACGGG
rnacentral:rRNA from 1 species